rnacentral:rRNA from 1 species
UCGGGAAUUUUGUGCAAUGGGCGAAAGCCUGACACAGCAACGCCGCGUGAAGGAUGAAGUCCCUCGGGAUGUAAACUUCGUAAGAAUAGGAAGAAUAAAUGACGGUACUAUUUAUAAGGUCCGGCUAACUACGUGCCAGCAGCCGCGGUAAUACGUAGGGACCAAGCGUUGUUCGGAUUUACUGGGCGUAAAGGGCGCGUAGGCGGCAAUUCAAGUCAUCUGUGAAAUCUCCGGGCUUAACUCGGAACGGUCAGAUGAUACUGCUUUGCUAGAGUGCAGAAGGGGCAAUCGGAAUUCUUGGUGUAGCGGUGAAAUGCGUAGAUAUCAAGAGGAACACCUGAGGUGAAGACGGGUUGCUGGGCUGACACUGACGCUGAGGCGCGAAAGCCAGGGGAGCAAACGGGAUUAGAUACCCCAGUAGUCCCUGAGCGGGCUGGCAAGGCGCAU